rnacentral:rRNA from 3 species
CAACUUUUGACAACGGAUCUCUUGGUUCUCCCAUCGAUGAAGAACGCAGCGAAAUGCGAUAAGUAAUGUGAAUUGCAGAAUUCAGUGAAUCAUCGAAUCUUUGAACGCACCUUGCGCUCGUUGGUAUUCCGACGAGCAUGCCUGUUUGAGUGUCAU